CUUGGUCAUUUAGAGGAAGUAAAAGUCGUAACAAGGUUUCCGUAGGUGAACCUGCGGAAGGAUCAUUCACAAUGGGUGUUUUAUGGCACUCUUUAAAAAUCCAUAUCCACCUUGUGUGCAAUGUUUGUUGGGAGAGAGGCAACUCUUUCCCUUCACAAAUAUCAACCUAUAUCUUUAACAACAUUCGUCUGAUAACAUAUUAUGAAUAUACUUAAUUCAAAAUAUAACUUUCAACAACGGAUCUCUUGGCUCUCGCAUCGAUGAAGAACGCAGCGAAAUGCGAUACGUAAUGUGAAUUGCAGAAUUCAGUGAAUCAUCGAAUCUUUGAACGCAUAUUGCGCUCUUUGGUAUUCCGAAGAGCAUGCUUGUUUGAGUAUCAGUAAACACCUCAACCUCCUCUUGUUUUUUCAAAAGGAGGGUGGACUUGAGCUAUCCCAACAACCUUCACCGGUAGGCGGGCGGCUUGAAAUGCAGGUGCAGCUGGACUUUUAUCUGAGCUAAAAGCAUAUCUAUUUAGUCCUCGUCAAACAGGAUUAUUACUAUUGCUGCAGCUAACAUAAAGGAUAAUUGUCCUCAUUGCUGACUGAUGCAGGAUUUUACGACACUUUAUGUGUUGUUCAACUCGAUCUCAAAUCAAGUAAGACUACCCGCUGAACUUAAGCAUAUCAAUAAGCGGAGGA
rnacentral:rRNA from 1 species